rfam:Clostridium clostridioforme CAG:132 genomic scaffold, scf236
GAUAUGACAUGGAAAGGGAACAGUAAGCGUGAUUGCACGUCACAGAGAGAGGACCGCAGGUGAGAGGUCCUUACGGUUGGCAGAUGCUGAACCCGCCCUGGAGUCCUGUAUGAUGAAUGCAGCGUAUGUCCGGCGUUAACGGAUGAUGAGAGAACCAUGAGGGCGCGCAGAUGGCGGGAAUGAAUUUUCAGACACGUUUUAAGCCCGAUGGUUAAUAAGGGUGGUACCGCCGAGUCAUUCGGUCCCUUGU